rnacentral:rRNA from 1 species
AACGAACGCUGGCGGCAUGCCUAACACAUGCAAGUCGAACGAUACCUUCGGGUCUAGUGGCGCACGGGUGCGUAACGCGUGGGAACCUGCCCUUAGGUUCGGAAUAACUCCCCGAAAGGGGUGCUAAUACCGGAUAAUGUCUUCGGACCAAAGUUUUAUCGCCGUUGGAUGGGCCCGCGUUGGAUUAGCUAGUUGGUAGGGUAAAAGCCUACCAAGGCGACGAUCCAUAGCUGGUCUGAGAGGAUGAUCAGCCACACUGGGACUGAGACACGGCCCAGACUCCUACGGGAAGCAGCAGGGGGGAAUAUUGGACAAUGGGCGAAAGCCUGAUCCACCAAUGCCGCGUGAGUGAUGAAGGCCUUAGGGUUGUAAAGUUCUGUUACCCGCGAUGAUAAUGACGGUACCGGUAGAAGAGGCGCCGGGUAACUCCGUG